rnacentral:rRNA from 1 species
UACGAAGGGGGCUAGCGUUGCUCGGAAUUACUGGGCGUAAAGGGAGCGUAGGCGGGUUAUCAAGUUGGAGGUGAAAGCCCAGGGCUCAACCUUGGAAUUGCCUUCAAAACUGAUAGCCUAGAGUAUGAUAGAGGUAUGUGGAACUCCGAGUGUAGAGGUGAAAUUCGUAGAUAUUCGGAAGAACACCAGUGGCGAAGGCGGCUGUCUGGACAGAUACUGACGCUGAGGCGCGAGAGCGUGGGGAGCAAACAGG